rnacentral:rRNA from 1 species
CCUACGGGAGGCAGCAGUGGGGAAUUUUGGACAAUGGGCGCAAGCCUGAUCCAGCAAUGCCGCGUGCAGGAUGAAGGCCUUCGGGUUGUAAACUGCUUUUGUACGGAACGAAACGGUGAGCUCUAAUACAGUUUGCUAAUGACGGUACCGUAAGAAUAAGCACCGGCUAACUACGUGCCAGCAGCCGCGGUAAUACGUAGGGUGCGAGCGUUAAUCGGAAUUACUGGGCGUAAAGCGUGCGCAGGCGGUGAUGUAAGACAGAUGUGAAAUGCCCGGGCUCAACCUGGGACCUGCAUUUGUGACUGCAUCGCUAGAGUACGGUAGAGGGGGAUGGAAUUCCGCGUGUAGCAGUGAAAUGCGUAGAUAUGCGGAGGAACACCGAUGGCGAAGGCAAUCCCCUGGACCUGUACUGACGCUCAUGCACGAAAGCGUGGGGAGCAAACAGGAUUAGAUACCCUGGUAGUCCACGCCCUAAACGAUGUCAACUGGUUGUUGGGUCUUCACUGACUCAGUAACGAAGCUAACGCGUGAAGUUGACCGCCUGGGGAGUACGGCCGCAAGGUUGAAACGUCAAAUGAAUUGACGG